rnacentral:rRNA from 1 species
GAGUGGCGGACGGGUGAGUAAUACAUGGGUGACCUACCCUUUGGUGAGGAAUACCGGCGAGAAAUCGUCGACAAGACCGCAUAGGCUUCCUUCGGGAAGCAAAGCUCCGUAAGGGGCGCCAGAGGAUGGGCCUGUGGCCGAUUAGCUAGUUGGGGAGGUAAGAGCCCCCCAAGGCGACGAUCGGUAGCUGGUCUGAGAGGAUGAUCAGCCACACUGGGAUUGAGAACGGCCCAGACUCCUACGGGAGGCAGCAGUGAGGAAUUUUCGGCAAUGGGCGCAAGCCUGACCGAGCAACGCCGCGUGCAGGAGGAAGGUCUUCGGAUCGUAAACUGCUUUUCUCGGGGAAGAGAUACGGACGGUACCCGAGGAAGAAGCCCCGGCUGACUACGUGCCAGCAGCCGCGGUAAUACGUAGGGGGCGAGCGUUGUCCGGAGUUACUGGGCGUAAAGCGCCCGCAGGCGGUCGGUCGCGUUUGAGGUAACAGCUCCUGGCUUACCUGGGAGAGCGUCUCAAAGACGGGCUGACUUGAGGACCAGAGAGGGACACGGAAUUCCGGGUGGAGUGGUGAAAUGCGUAGAUAUCCGGAGGAACACCGAAGGCGCAGGCAGUGUCCUGGAUGGUACC